rnacentral:rRNA from 1 species
CUCCUUUCUUUCUCUGCCCCUCGCUCCGUCACGCACCCACAAUCCCUCCCCCGAAACCCUUGCUGCCGCCACCUACGCCUCUUGUUCCGGCGUGUUCCAGCGGGCCUCGCCGGCACGCAUCCCAGAUCCGAGCUCCCCUGCCUCCGCUCUUCCCCCCCCUCCGGCCAAAUCCGCCUCUCGCGUCCCCGGUACUCAUCCCGAACCCGGUAGCUCAUCCACCCCCUCCCUCAUCUCCUCGCUGCUGCCACCUCCUCCCCGUCCUGCAGCGGCGCGUCCCGCCCCUGACCGCCCCCUCCUCCUUCCUCGAUGUGUCCCGCAGCGAUUCCCAUCGCGUCCCGCAGAUGCCGUCCCUCUCCCUCAAUCCCCACCGCGUGUUGAUGCGCCAAAGCCCUCGCCUCCUACAGCUCCCUCAUCCUGCCCGGCGACGAGCACUCGCCUCCGCCUCCCAGCUCGCGCCUCGCGCCGCCGAGCUAUGGGGGCGGCGGAUAUCCGGGGACGAUCGCCGCCAUCGUCACCGCCCUCGGCGGGGGCCCCGCGGCCGUCGGCAUCGUCCGCCUGUCCGGCGCCGACGCCGUCACCGUCGUCGCCCGCGUGUUCCGGCUGGCCAGGAAGGAGCCGGCGCCCUGGAGGCCCCGAAGCCACUUCGUGGAGUACGGGGUCGCGCUGGACGGAGAUGGGGGCGUCAUCGAUGAGGUGCUGGUGGUGCCCAUGCUGGCUCCGAGAUCCUACACCCGAGAGGAUGUGGUGGAGCUCCAGUGCCACGCGAACGACCUUUGCUUGCGUCCCGUGCUGAGGGCCUGCUUGGAGGCCGGUGCCAGGCUCGCCGACCCUGGUGAGUGAGCAUCAAUUGAUCAGCUUGUGAACUGGAUUGUGACCGCUCAAGAAGCUACAACUGAGCCAUGGGCAAGGGACAGAUUUGCAUCGACAUCGUGGUCAUUGGCGAAUCGGUAGUAUUGAUGUACAAGUUUACUGUAGUAUUUUGAUGAUUGCCUUCAUUCAUGUUUCAAUGUGAGCUCUAGGUCGAAGUUGCAAGAAGAGCUCUGGGUUGAAGAAGUUUGAAGAAGGGAACACUUCAUUUUUGUAGCUAGUUUUAUGUUCCUGGGUGUUUACUUCAUAGAUGUUCCUGGGUGUUCCUGGGUGUUUGUUUACUUCAUAGAUGUCCCUGGAUGUUUGCACUUCCUGGGUGUCCUAAAUUCCUGGAUGAUGUGGACUACCGCAUGGUUGUAAUAUAUAUAAUAUACUCAUUUUGGACGUCAUGUGUGAAAAUUUGUGUGGUUGAAGUAUUGGAA